rnacentral:lncRNA from 1 species
CACCGUGUGCAUGUUGCCUUGUUGCUCAUUGCCCUGUGUGUUGUGGCCAACUCCCUUGCUCAUGCGGUUUUUUGAAAGUUUUGUGAAAUGUUUUCUUUUUUAGAACAAAAAACAAAAACAAAAAGGAAGACAAAAGUUCACGAAAUAUUUUGGAAAGAGUUCGAAAACAGAAUAUGAAUCGAGAAAACUUUUAGAAAAUUCUUUUGAAUAGACCUUUCAAACAAGAGAUUUUGCAAAUAUCUAUGUAUAUAAACACACAUAUAUACAUAUGUUCUGAAAAGAGUUUCUAGAAGAAAAGAGGAAGAAAAAAAGUUUGCUAAAUGUUUUGUAAAUGACAUUUGAAAGUUUGCUUCCACAUGUGCAAAGAUGGCACCAAGACAACAUCUUCCGCGCACCGUGUGCAUGUUGCCUUGUUGCUCAUUGCCCUGUGUGUUGUGGCCAACACCCUUGCUCAUGCGGUUUUCUGAAAGUUUUGUGAAAUGUUUUCUUUUUUAGAACAAAAAAAACAAAAACAAAAAGGAAGACAAAAGUUCAAGAAAUAUUUUGGAAAGAGUUCGAAAACAGAAUUUGAAUCGAGAAAACUUUUAGAAAAUUCUUUUGAAUAGACCUUUCAAACAAGAAAUUUUGCAAAUAUCUAUGUAUAUAAACACACAUAUAUACAUAUGUUCUGAAAAGAGUUUCUAGAAAAAAGAGGAAGAAAAAAAAAGUUUGCAAUGAUGUUUUGUAAAUGACAUUUGAAAGUUUGCUUCCACAUGUGCAAAGAUGGCACCAAGACAACAUCUUCCGCGCACCGUGUGCAUGUUGCCUUGUUGCUCAUUGCCAUGUGUGUUGUGGCCAACACCCUUGCUCAUGCGGUUUUUUGAAAGUUUUGUGAAAUGUUUUCUUUUUUAGAACAAAAAAAAAAACAAAAAGGAAGACAAAAGUUCACGAAAUAUUUUGGAAAGAGUUUGAAAACAGAAUAUGAAUCGAGAAAACUUUUAGAAAAUUCUUUUGAAUAGACCUUUCAAACAAGAGAUUUUGCAAAUAUCUAUGUAUAUAAACACACAUAUAUACAUAUGUUCUGAAAAGAGUUUCUAGAAGAAAAGAGGAAGAAAAAAAAAGUUUGCUAAAUGUUUUGUAAAUGACAUUUGAAAGUUUGCUUCCACAUGUGCAAAGAUGGCACCAAGACAACAUCUUCCACGCACCGUGUGCAUGUUGCCUUGUUGCUCAUUGCCCUGUGUGUUCUGGCCAACACCCUUGCUCAUGCGGUUUUCUGAAAGUUUUGUGAAAUGUUUU